UGUGCGCGGGAGCCGUGAAUGGCGGAGAAAAUCCUACCUCAGGGUACGGGGCUCGGUUAGCGGGGAAGCUCCUGCAAUUGCAGACCGGUUGUUGUUUCUCAAAAGCUGGAAGAGGCAGAUCCGGAAAUGGGGAGGAAGCAGGUGACCUUGGACCAAGAACAACUGGUGGAGAAUGUGUGGCACUUGGUGGUUGCUGAUUACUCCUACUGGACCUUGUGCUAGAACAUCUCCUUGCAGGGUGCCCAGAAGAUGCUGAACUCAGAACCGCUCUCCAAAAUGCUCCCAGUGAAUGAGUUUCUGCCAAUCAUGUCUGACACACAUCCCAAUAAGGAAAACAAGCACCAUUUUGUGAACAGAAACCUACGUAUGUUUUCUGUCAAUCACCUUCUUGUCUACCUAACUCAUUACACUGGGGAACCCAGCUGGCAAAGUGACACCGAAACCUCCAUCCUUUGGGACAAUGAUAAUGUAAGAACAGACUGGAGUGGGUCGCAGAAGACCCUGAAGGACACAAGGGGAGAUCCUUCCCAUGUGCUACAUGCUGCAUCAGAUGAUGAGCUGUGACCUGUCAGCAAUAACUGAUCAUGAUAACGUGUGACUUCCUAUUGCAGUACAAGAUGGGUGUGCAGGAGGGGAGCAAUUAUAUCAGGAAUUGGCAGGGAAGUAAUGUGUUGGUGCUACAAAAAAGUGUACUGUAUUUUCUAUUAGGGAUGCACCGAAUCCACUAUUUUGGAUUCGGCCAAACCCCCGAAUCCUUCACAAAAGAUUCGGCCGAAUACCGAACUGAAUCCAACCCCUAAUUUGCAUAUGCAAAUUAGGGAUGGA